UUUUUAAAAAAAAAAAAAUAUAUAUAUAUAUAUAUAUUUAUUUUUUUUUUUUAAUUGGGGUAGCCCCCAAAAUAUUGGGACAUAUAAAAAAGGACAACUCUGUUCCGCAGAGUAGCUGUUGACAUUAUAGUUGCACAGGCACUUUGUUGACUCUUGAGAACCUCGGGCCAAUCGCACAUCCCCGUGACGGUGACGUUGCAUUCAGAUGUCAUCCAUAUCUACAUUUGAUGCCAGUUUCUGCGCCUACCAUGGUGACCACGGGUAAUGGGGAAUCAGGGUUCCAUUCCGUACAGGGACCCUGAGAAAUGGCUACCACAUGCAAGGAAGGCAGCAGGCAGACAAAUAACCCACUCCCGACGCGGAAGGUAGUGACGACAAAUAACAAUACAGGACUCUUUAGAGGCCCUGUAAUUGUAAUGAGUCCACUUGAAAUCCUUUAACUCUGAUCAAUUGGAGGGAAGUCUGGUGCAGAGCCACUGACCCGUGCGUGCUGCAGCUGAAACUCCACU
rnacentral:rRNA from 1 species